AGUGAACGCUGGCUGUAGGCCUAACACAUGCAAGUCGAACGGCAGCACAGUAAGAGCUUGCUCUUACGGGUGGCGAGUGGCGGACGGGUGAGGAAUACAUCGGAAUCUACUUUUUCGUGGGGGAUAACGUAGGGAAACUUACGCUAAUACCGCAUACGACCUACGGGUGAAAGCAGGGGAUCUUCGGACCUUGCGCGAUUGAAUGAGCCGAUGUCGGAUUAGCUAGUUGGCGGGGUAAAGGCCCACCAAGGCGACGAUCCGUAGCUGGUCUGAGAGGAUGAUCAGCCACACUGGAACUGAGACACGGUCCAGACUCCUACGGGAGGCAGCAGUGGGGAAUAUUGGACAAAGGGCGCAAGCCUGAUCCAGCCAUACCGCGUGGGUGAAGAAGGCCUUCGGGUUGUAAAGCCCUUUUGUUGGGAAAGAAAAGCAGCAGGUUAAUACCCCGCUGUUCUGACGGUACCCAAAGAAUAAGCACCGGCUAACUUCGUG
rnacentral:rRNA from 1 species